rnacentral:rRNA from 1 species
GGCGAGUGGCGAACGGGUGAGUAACAUAUCGGAACGUACCGAGCAGUGGGGGAUAACUAAUCGAAAGAUUAGCUAAUACCGCAUAUUUUCUGAGGAAGAAAGCAGGGGACCAUUUGGCCUUGCGCUGUUUGAGCGGCCGAUAUCUGAUUAGCUAGUUGGUGGGGUAAAGGCCUACCAAGGCGACGAUCAGUAGCGGGUCUGAGAGGAUGAUCCGCCACACUGGGACUGAGACACGGCCCAGACUCCUACGGGAGGCAGCAGUGGGGAAUUUUGGACAAUGGGCGCAAGCCUGAUCCAGCCAUGCCGCGUGUCUGAAGAAGGCCUUCGGGUUGUAAAGGACUUUUGUCAGGGAAGAAAAGGGCGGGGUUAAUACCCCUGUCUGAUGACGGUACCUGAAGAAUAAGCACCGGCUAACUACGUGCCAGCAGCCGCGGUAAUACGUAGGGUGCGAGCGUUAAUCGGAAUUACUGGGCGUAAAGCGGGCGCAGACGGUUACUUAAGCAGGAUGUGAAAUCCCCGGGCUCAACCUGGGAACUGCGUUCUGAACUGGGUGACUAGAGUGUGUCAGAGGGAGGUAGAAUUCCACGUGUAGCAGUGAAAUGCGUAGAGAUGUGGAGGAAUACCGAUGGCGAAGGCAGCCUCCUGGGAUAACACUGACGUUCAUGCCCGAAAGCGUGGGUAGCAAACAGGAUUAGAUACCCUGGUAGUCCACGCCCUAAACGAUGUCGAUUAGCUGUUGGGCAGCAUGACUGCUUAGUAGCGAAGCUAACGCGUGAAAUCGACCGCCUGGGGAGUACGGUCGCAAGAUUAAAACUCAAAGGAAUUGACGGGGACCCGCACAAGCGGUGGAUGAUGUGGAUUAAUUCGAUGCAACGCGAAGAACCUUACCUGGUCUUGACAUGUACGGAAUCCUCCAGAGACGGAGGAGUGCCUUCGGGAGCCGUAACACAGGUGCUGCAUGGCUGUCGUCAGCUCGUGUCGUGAGAUGUUGGGUUAAGUCCCGCAACGAGCGCAACCCUUGUCAUUAGUUGCCAUCAUUAAGUUGGGCACUCUAAUGAGACUGCCGGUGACAAGCCGGAGGAAGG